UACGUAGGGUGCGAGCGUUGUCCGGAUUUAUUGGGCGUAAAGGGCUCGUAGGCGGCGUGUCGCGUCGGGAGUGAAAGACCGGGGCUUAACCCCGGUUCUGCUUCCGGUACGGGCAUGCUGGAGUGUGGCAGGGGAGACUGGAAGUUCCUGGUGUAGCGGUGGGAUGACGCCAGAUAUCAGGAGGAACACCGGUGGCGAAGGCGGGUCUCUGGGCCAUUACUGACGCUGAGGAGCGAAAGCGUGGGGAGCGAACAGG
rnacentral:rRNA from 1 species